rnacentral:rRNA from 1 species
UACAGACAAGCUUGCUUCUCUUGACAGCGGCGCGACGGGUGAGUAAUGCCUAUGAAUCUGCCUGGUAAUGGGGGAUCAACGUUCGGAAUCGUGUACGGCUGACAUACGACAUUCACUCGCUGACCGGAGAAUCACCGGGACCUUCGGGCCUUGCGCUAUCAUAUGAGCCGAGGUCGGAUUACCUAGAUGGUGAGGUAGUGGCUCAUCCACAGGACGACGAUGCUCGUAACUGGUCUGACAGGAUGAUCCGUCACGCUGGAACUGAGACACGGUCCACACUCCUACGGGAGGCACCGUGUGGGGAAUAUUGGACUAGGGGGCGAAAGCCUGAUCGUGCCAUGCCGCGUGUGUGAAGAAGGUCUUCGGAUUGUAAAGCACUUUAAGUUGGGAGGAAGGGUACUUACCUAAUACGUGAGUAUUUUGACGUUACCGACAGAAUAAGCACCGGCUAACUCUGUGCCAGCAGCCGCGGUAAUACAGAGGGUGCAAGCGUUAAUCGGAAUUACUGGGCGUAAAGCGCGCGUAGGUGGUUCGUUAAGUUGGAUGUGAAAUCCCCGGGCUCACCUGGGAACUGCAUCCAAACUGGCGAGCUAGAGUAUGGUAGAGGGUGGUGGAAUUUCCUGU